rnacentral:rRNA from 1 species
GACGAACGCUGGCGGCGUGCCUAAUACAUGCAAGUCGAGCGGACUUGAUGAGAAGCUUGCUUCUCUGAGAGUUAGCGGCGGACGGGUGAGUAACACGUAGGCAACCUGCCUGUAAGACUGGGAUAACUACCGGAAACGGUAGCUAAUACCGGAUAGGUGAUUUUCUCGCAUGAGGAAGUCAAGAAAGACGGAGCAAUCUGUCACUUACGGAUGGGCCUGCGGGGCAUGAGCUAGUUGGUGAGGUAAAGGCUCACCAAGGCGACGAUGCGUAGCCGACCUGAGAGGGUGAACGGCCACACUGGGACUGAGACCCGGCCCAGACUCCUACGGGAGGCAGCAGUAGGGAAUCUUCCGCAAUGGACGAAAGUCUGACGGAGCAACGCCGCGUGAGUGAUGAAGGUUUUCGGAUCGUAAAGCUCUGUUGCCAGGGAAGAACGUCUUAGAGAGUAACUGCUCUAAGAGUGACGGUACCUGAGAAGAAAGCCCCGGCUAACUACGUGCCAGCCGCCGCCGUAAAAC